AUAAUCAUUUGCCUUAUAAUUGAAGGCUUGUAUGAAUGGUUUGACGAGAGCAUUGCUGUCUCUUUUUUAAUAAAUAGAAUUUGACCUUUAGGUGAAGAGGCCUAAAUAUAAUUGAAAGACAAGAAGACCCUAUCGAGCUUAAAAACUAAGUUAGGAAUAAUUAUAAAUUUAGAUUUACUGCUAAUUCAUUUUUUAAUUGGGGCGAUUAAGGAACAGCAGAAGCUUCCUUUUCUAUCUUAACUUAUAGGUAUUGAUCCAGCUAAAGCUGAUUGAAAGAAUUAGUUACCGUAGGGAUAACAGCAUAAUCUCUCUUAAGAGACCUAAUCGAAAGAGGGGGUUGU
rnacentral:rRNA from 1 species